GCUUCUCCCUCUCCCUCUGCCCUCCUUCCUGUUCAUGCUUUCUCUCUCGAAUAAACAAUUUUUUAAAAAAGAAAUUACUUUAAAAAUGUUAGUGAUGUUGGGGGGUACCUGGCUGGUUCAGUCAGUGGACAUGCAAUUCUUGAUCUUGGGGUUUUGAGUUCAAACCCCACAUUAGGUGUAGAAAAUACUUAAAAAUAACAUCUUUAGGUGCACCUGGAUGGCUCAAUCAGUUAAAGGUCCAAGUCUUGGUUUCGACUCAGGUCAUGAUCUCAGGAUUGUCAGAUCCAGCACAGCCCCACAUAGGGCUCUGCUCUUGGUGCAGGAUCUAUCUGCUCGAGAGAUUCUCUCUCUACCCCUCUUUCCCCCUGCUUGUACUCUCUCGCUCUCAAAUAAAUAAAUAAAAUCUUUUUAAAAAUAAAAAUAAAUAAAAGCUUUAAAAAAUGUUAGUGAUGUUGAAAUAAGUUCUUGAUUUACAUAAUGUAGAAACAAUUCUCUGAUAUCUUGGAGUAUACCCUCCAAAGCUUUUUAAUAUAUGAACAAGGGAAACUGUGGCUCUUGAAGCUGAAAACCACUGUCUAUUUAUAGCCUGUUAAUAGCUAGAAAAAAGAGUUUCUAAUCCUGUGGUCUCCUUACCGGAGAACAUUUGUAACCUCUUUCCUCAAGAUUUGUAAAGUAACCAUUUGUCACCAAUAAUAGUAGUAACCUUUAUGGAGAUCUUACUAUAUGUCAAGCACUGUUCUGUGUCCAUUUCACACAUUUCAGGUCAAUUUUCACAGCCACCUUAUGAAGUAAGUCGUUACGUAUUAGAAAAUUGAAUCUCAGAAAGUUUCCUAACUAGCAAGUGACAGAGCUGAGAUUCAAACCUGUUACAGGUUUGUUAUAAGGAGCAUAGGACAAUUAGAAGGAUUAAGUGCAUUAAUGCAAUUAAAGUGCCUAGAAGUCUUACUUGCAGUAACUCUCUCCGCUAAGUACCAACACUAAGAAUCUGGACUCGGGGAGGAAUUUUCUAAGUUAGAGAUAUGAUUAGGUCUGCAAAAGUACAUGAAGUUAUUCUGAUAAACUGAAAUGCAAGUUAAAGUAUCCUUUAUCCAUGUAUCCUGUGCCUAAGAGCUCUAUGUUUUUCAAGAUAGUUUUCCCCUUGUUUUUAGUUCCUAUGAGUGCCAUUUCUCAGAAGAUCUCCUGCCACCAGUUCUGAGUUAUUUGUAUCCCUCCCCCCACCACUAUUUUUAUGCUUUCUCAUCAUAGAGAUUUUUAGCAUAAAAUCAGAGGAAGGCAACAUUUUAAAGCGCGGCAUCAGGAUGACCAUAAGUAAUAUCUGACUGCCUGAAAAUACACCAUGUUUCUGUAGUUGAAUGUCAGGCUCAUAAAAAUAUAAAGCAAGAGGAAAAAAAAAAAGCCCUCCCUAUUGCCACCAGAACCAUGCUGUCCAGUAUGGUAGUCACUCACCAUGUGUGGCUAUUAAGUUCUUGAAAUGUGGCCAGUUGUAAUCGAGAUGUUCUGUAAGUAUGAAAUACACACUGGAUUUCAAAGAAUUAGUUAAAAACAGAAUAAAAUAUAUCAAUAUUUUUAUAUGGGUCACAUGUUGAAAGGAUAAUAAUUUGGGUUAAGUGACUUCAUUAAAAUCAAUUCUAUUACUUUCUUUUUAUUUUUUAACAUGUCUAUACUAGAAAACAGAAAAUUACUUCUGUAGCUUGCAUUAUAUUUCUACUUGGUAACGCUGCUCGCGAUUAAAGUCUUAACUUUAGGGAUCCCUGGGUGGCACAGCGGUUUCACGCCUGCCUUUGGCCCAGGGUGUGAUCCUGGAGACCCGGGAUCGAAUCCCACGUCGGGCUCCCGGUGCAUGGAGCCUGCUUCUUCCUCUGCCUGUCUCUCUCUCUUUCUCUCUCUCUCUCUCUCUGUGUGUGUAUGACUAUCAUAAAUAAAUAAAAAAA
rnacentral:lncRNA from 1 species